rnacentral:rRNA from 1 species
UACGGGGGGGUAAGCGUUGUUCGGAAUUACUGGGCGUAAAGGGCUCGUAGGCGGCCAACUAAGUCAGACGUGAAAUCCCUCAGCUUAACUGGGGAACUGCGUCUGAUACUGGAUGGCUUGGAUUUGGGAGAGGGAUGCGGAAUUCCAGGUGUAGCGGUGAAAUGCGUAGAUAUCUGGAGGAACACCGGUGGCGAAGGCGGCAUCCUGGACCAAUACUGACGCUGAGGAGCGAAAGCGUGGGGAGCAACAGG